AGUGAACGCUGGCGGUAGGCCUAACACAUGCAAGUCGAACGGCAGCACAGUAAGAGCUUGCUCUUACGGGUGGCGAGUGGCGGACGGGUGAGGAAUACAUCGGAAUCUACUUUUUCGUGGGGGAUAACGUAGGGAAACUUACGCUAAUACCGCAUACGACCUACGGGUGAAAGCAGGGGAUCUUCGGACCUUGCGCGAUUGAAUGAGCCGAUGUCGGAUUAGCUAGUUGGCGGGGUAAAGGCCCACCAAGGCGACGAUCCGUAGCUGGUCUGAGAGGAUGAUCAGCCACACUGGAACUGAGACACGGUCCAGACUCCUACGGGAGGCAGCAGUGGGGAAUAUUGGGCAAUGGGCGCAAGCCUGACCCAGCCACACCGCGUGGGUGAAGAAGGCCUUCGGGUUUUAAAACCCUUUUUUUGGGGAAGAAAAACUGCGUGUUUAACCCCCCACGUUUUGACGGUACCCAAAGAGAAAGCCCCGGCUAACUUCGUG
rnacentral:rRNA from 1 species